rnacentral:rRNA from 1 species
CCUACGGGAGGCAGCAGUGAGGAAUAUUGGUCAAUGGCCGGAAGGCUGAACCAGCCAUGCCGCGUGAAGGUCAGUGCCCUAUGGGUUGUAAACUUCUUUUAUAAAGGAAUAAAACGAGGCACGUGUGCCUUUUUGCAUGUACUUUAUGAAUAAGGAUCGGCUAACUCCGUGCCAGCAACCGCGGUAAUACGGAGGAUCCGAGCGUUAUCCGGAUUUUUUGGGUUUAAAGGGAGCGUAGAUGGGUUGUUAAGUCAGUUGUGAAAGUUUGCGGCUCAACCGUAAAAUUGCAAUUGAUACUGGCAGUCUUGAGUACAGUUGAGGUAGGCGGAAUUCGUGGUGUAGCGGUGAAAUGCUUAGAUAUCACGAAGAACCCCGAUUGCGAAGGCAGCUUACUAAACUGUGACUGACAUUGAUGCUCGAAAGUGUGGGUAUCAAACAGGAUUAGAUACCCCAGUAGUC